UACGGGGGGGGCAAGCGUUGUUCGGAAUUACUGGGCGUAAAGGGCGCGUAGGCGGUUUGUUAAGUUGAAUGUGAAAACUCUGGGCUUAACCCAGAGCCUGCAUUCAAUACUGGCAGGCUAGAGUUCUGGAGGGGAUAGCGGAAUUCCUGGUGUAGCGGUGAAAUGCGUAGAUAUCAGGAGGAACACCGGUGGCGAAGGCGGCUAUCUGGACAGAGUCUGACGCUGAGGCGCGAAAGCUAGGGGAGCAAACAGG
rnacentral:rRNA from 1 species